GUGGGGAAUAUUGGACAAUGGGCGAAACUCUGAUCCAGCCAUGCCGCGUGAGUGAUGAAGGCCUUCGGGUUGUAAAGCUCUUUCGGGUGUGAAAAUGAUGAUGGUAACACCAGAAGAAGCCCCGGCUAACUUCGUGCCAGCAGCCGCGGUAAUACGAAGGGUGCAAGCGUUAAUCGGAAUUACUGGGCGUAAAGCGCGCGUAGGUGGUUUUGUAAGUUGGAGGUGAAAUCCCCGGGCUCAACCUGGGAACUGCCUCCAAAACUGCAUGACUAGAGUACGGUAGAGGGUAGUGGAAUUUCCUGUGUAGCGGUGAAAUGCGUAGAUAUAGGAAGGAACACCAGUGGCGAAGGCGACUACCUGGACUGAUACUGACACUGAGGUGCGAAAGCGUGGGGAGCAAACAGGAUUAGAUACCCCUGUAGUCC
rnacentral:rRNA from 1 species